ACCGGGUUGGGCGGGCCCCGUCUGGGAGGGGUUUGUGCGUGAGCCUUGAGUCCCCCGCCCGCUGAGGAGAUGGAUGAGGACGGGCUUCCUCUCAUGGGGUCAGGCAUAGACCUGACCAAGGUGCCAGCUAUUCAACAGAAAAGAACGGUGGCAUUUCUAAACCAGUUUGUGGUGCACACUGUACAGUUCCUCAACCGCUUUUCUACAGUUUGUGAGGAGAAACUGGCAGACCUUUCUCUUCGUAUCCAGCAAAUUGAAACAACUCUCAAUAUUUUGGAUGCAAAGUUGUCAUCUAUCCCAGGCCUAGAUGAUGUGACAUUUGAAGUAUCACCUGUAAGUGUCCCUGGUGUCACAAAAGAAUCACAUUCUGAAACCACUUCAGAGAAAUCACAACAGAACAGUUUACAAGACUCUGGACCACAGGAAAGUGAAGUAACACCAGAAAAUAUCUUAACUGUAGCCAAGGAUCCAAGAUAUGCCAGAUAUCUCAAAAUGGUUCAAGUGGGUGUUCCAGUGAUGGCAAUAAGAAACAAAAUGAUAUCAGAAGGACUAGACCCAGAUCUUCUUGAGUUUUUCCCAGAAUUGUCCACCGGAAGGACUAGAGGCCGGAUCAUCUGUCCACUAACCCUGGACCCAUUGAUUGAGGGCUUUACUCCUCUACAUUUCUGGGAUAUAAUUGCCUAUGCACCUUGGUGGCUCCAUGGCCUUGGAAAGGACACUUUGUCAGAAAGUGGAGAAAUGGGACAUUCAUUGGAGGACCCAGGCUGGAAGAACAGUCCCUACACGGGACAUACAUGGAGAACCGGCCAAACCUUAAGAUAAGUCUUAUACCUUCUGCCUACAUGAUGAAUGCCAUAUUUACUCACAUUUCAUUGGCCAAAGUACAUCACAUAGUCACACCCAGUGAGAAUCACCCAAGAUUUACAUAGAGGAUGACAGAUCACAUGGAGAGAGGCACCAGGCUCUUCCACUGUUUCCACUAUCCCACAUAGGUAAGUGAGGUAAUUCUCAACCAUCAAGCUCCAUCCAGCCUAGACCAGAAGAACCAUCCAGCCAAUUCACAGUUUGAGAACUUUUUAAGCCACUUUUUAAAGUGACGUGUUAUGCCAUAAGAGCUGACUUAAACAUAUCUAUAUCUAAUUUCAUCCAGGAGAGAGCCACGAUAUUUUUAAAAAGUCUUAUUGACCACUUCAAUAUGAAAUCUUAUGGAUGUGCCAUCAUCUAUUUAACCAUUUUCUUAUCAUUAGAAUCACACUGUUACCUAAUUCAUUAUAUCACAUUCAUUAUAACUAAAAUUAACACUGCCAUGAACAUCUUUGUGUAUAAAUUUUUACCCAGGUUUCUGAUUAUUUCGUCAUAAGAGAUUGGUGAGAGAAGAGUUGCUAUCAAAAUUUAGGCCUCUUAAUAAUGACCAAAUUUUGAACCAAAAGGAUGAUACUAAUUUAUAAAUCCAAUGAAAAUACAUAAGCAUAUCCAUUUCUCUUCACUCUCAUUCAGCAUCUAAGUGUGAACUUUUAAAAGCAUCAUUGUUAAUCUAAUGAAAGAAAAGUCUCAUUUAAAUUUUAAUUUCAUUGUGAAUUGAGGAUCACUUUGUCUUACAUAUAUUGUUAACAGUCAAUAAUUCUUAUAUAACAUUCGGUGCAUAUGAUAAUAUUUCCUUAUCUUUCUGUAUUAAAUUAAAUCCAACUUCAGUGUUCCACAGGACAAAACUGGCAGAAAACUAAACAUCAGGUAUUUUUUCCAGUUUCUUUUCCCUCUCUUGAUGGUGAGGAACCUGGAGCCCAGAAUGGUCAUUACAAAGGUGAUGGGGUUCUGUACUGGUGUCUCAUCUCCCUCCAAGCUAGGUGCAGGGGAAAUUUUAUGAAGGGGUGGGACCAUCUGGGUUCCCACGGCCUUGAAGUUAAUGUUCAGUUUUUAUAUUUAAACUUACCUAAUUCAGGUCCAUCUAUCUCAGAAGCAUUGGAGUGGGUGCAAGUCCCCUCCUGCUCAAAUCUUUAAGCACCUGUUCCUUGCCCAAUAUCAUAUUCUGUCAGCACCACAAGAAGGCAGGAUACAAAACUCCAGUUCCCUUUAUUUGGCAGAGUUAUAAUUUGAAAAACUUGUGUGGACUGUGGGGGUGGGGAGAUGAUGAAGGUGGCUGGGAUGACAAGAGGUUAUAUGUACAUAUUACAUAAUGCUUUUCCCAAAGGAUUGUGUAGAUAUCCCAGAAAACAAACAAUGUAACUGUUAGAAGCACAAUAUAAAUGUCAAAAGUAUAAGAAAUUACAUAGAGAAGUAUUGAACCAUAAGUCAUCAUAUUUUUUCUGUAAUUAAGAAAAAAUAUCACAAUAAUUUUAGUGAGUUAGAAAAGAAAUGCAAAAUCAGACUAUAAACAGACUAUGAACUUCAUGGACAGACUUAAUAUUGAGGCCCUCUAUAUCCACACGUCCCAUCCCCACUAUUUUUUCAUACCCUGCUCUUUGAAAAAGCUUCAUUUCCACCAGAUGUCAUGGGACAUAGUUCUGUCAGUCAAUGAAUUGACAACUGUUCUCAUCAUUUGGGGUGGUGGGGUGGACCCCAAACCCAGUCACAUUCGUUUGCCUCCAAGCAGCAUACAAUCCUAUCUAUAACACAUUUUCAGGUAAAGCAGCUGAGUGACAAAAUAAAGUCCUCAUGAAACCCACUAACUGACCACCCACUGGGCUAUGUGCUCCUAUGGUAUGGGGGUCAGUUGGUGCAAGGGCAUUGCCUGCAUCUAAGACAGAUGAGGAACUUGCAAGAAAACACACAAAGACUGCUGAUGCCAAACAAGUUAUGAGGCAACAUUUGCCAGUGCAAUCUGUGUGUUGUGUCUUCUAUAAAAAAUGUCAGCAAAGGAAAGAAAUGGAAACCAUUCCCCAAUGUGGGCAACCUCUCCUUGUUCACAUAUGCUUGAGCUGGGACAGUGGAUACAAAAGUGGAUGCGGGGGUGGAGGGAUGCCUGAGAAGGAAGACUGGAAAAGGGGUCAGCUCUUGUACUUAGAAUUUGUUGCUAGAAAACAGAAGAGCUGUUAGAUGGACACACCCCCACACCCCCGGCCCAUAGAGCUGUUUUACUCCUCUAAGUCAACCCAGAGUUUUUUGAUGUAGUUACUCCAUCAUAAAAUUUCAUAUCUUCUUAAGAUUCAACUUCAGCUAAAGACCCUGAAGAAACAAUGCCUCCUUUGAAAGAACUGAAGAGUCCAGAAACUUCUAGUUUCAACCAGCCACUGUCUAAACUGACAACCUGCUCUGCAGCCUGAUGGAUGACAAAGCUUCAUGGACUGGGAGAGAAUUCCAUGUCAAGAAUGUCUGCUUCUGAGAGCUAGUUCUGAUUGCCCUCAUCCCCAUUAACAAAAACAGAUGUGUGCUCAUGAGCAAAGUAAACAUUCAAGGCCAAUAUAUGUUCCUUUCCACCAAUCUAGUUUGGCACUUCAAUAUGAGCAAAUAGUCUAUGAAGCAGAGUGGAACUUUUCUGUAACAUUGGUGUCAAGUGACGGGACUCACAUCUGUGUAUUAGUUUAACUGUUAUAUUAAAUAUCUAUGGAAUAGACUCUAUUUCAUGGGGAAUGAUUUGAGCUAUGAUUAAAUCUACUGACAUGGACUAGUUAUUCUCUAAUAACUGAGUUUGAAUCCUGGUUCUGUUGCUUACUAUCUAUGUAAACUUGUGCAAGUCAUUUAACUUCAGUUUCUGUCUCUAAAAUGGAGGUUUUAAUAGCAUGUAUCUCCUACCCUAUCAGCACUAAGCAUGAAAAAUGUGAGCUCAUUCUAGGAUUAUUCCAUGACACCAGAGGAAGUAGAAUCCAAGAAGGCUGGGUACCUAAACUUGUCUUCAUUCAUUCUUUCAUCAAAUAUUACUGAGUACCUACAGUGUGAUGAUGAAAGACAUAACUCAAUACCAUCAUGGAGUUUAUGGUUUCCUGGUUCAUCCGCCACCCUGGAUGUGACCCUUCAAUAUCACUCAGCACCCUGAGCAUGGUGCUUCUCAAAGUAAUUUGAACAUAAGAAUUACCUGGCAUUCUAAGACUGCAUCCUGCUGAAUAUCCUGGGAAGAUUCUGACUUCCUUUUCCUCACUGGCAAAAUAGGGAGCAAAGCAAUCCCUACCACAAUCUUUUUGUGCAUUUCAAGAGAAAGAGUUUGGAAACCAUGAAGUUACUUUCCAGUGUAUGCCAUCCAGACUCUCUCUGGGGGUUCAGAGAAGCCAGCCGAGGACCACUCAGCCUGUGUUCUAUCUCAGUGUCCUCUUACCCACCUCCUCUCUUGGCACUCUCUGGAGACAUGAGUCAGUGGCCACCUGCCCCCAUUUUAACCUAAUGAGCUAAUGGAGCUCAGACUGAAACCAGCCAGCCUCAAGUCCACCACCAAGGUGGACACCUGUAUUGUAUUCUAUGAAUGCCUAUUAUAAGGCUUCAGAGGGCCAUUCAGUGGCCA